GAUGAAGAACGUAGUGAAAUGCGAUAAGUAGUGUGAAUUGCAGAAUUCAGUGAAUCAUCGAAUCUUUGAACGCACAUUGCGCCCCUUGGUAUUCCAUGGGGCAUGCCUGUUCGAGCGUUAUUUGUACCUUCAAGCUCUGCUUGGUGUUGGGUGUUUGUCUCGCCUUUGCGUGUAGACUCGCCUUAAAACCAUUGGCAGCCGGCGUAUUGAUUUCGGAGCGCAGUACAUCUCGCGCUUUGCACUCAGAACGACGACGUCCAAAAGUACAUUUUUACACUCUUGACCUCGGAUCAGGUAGGGAUACCCGCUGAACUUAAGCAUAUCAAUAAGCGGAGGA
rnacentral:misc_RNA from 1 species